UCCUCAAAAAUUUAUCCCCAUCAAUAAAUACCUCUAGACAGUGCAUCCAUUGCUAUAAUUCCUUACUUUUUAAUUUUUCCUAUUAAUUUUUCUAAAAAUUGUGACAAUUCUCCUGUUUGCUUUUUCAGGCUUCAAUACAAUGCAAUUUAUACAAUUCAUCUACUGUUUCUCAUUAUGAUCAACCAGUUGUGCCAAAGAUUGCAUAUGAUUUCUUGGGCGAUAUUUUUGAUCACAUGUAUCAAAACAAAAAUAAAAGAAAUGAAUUAAACAAGCACAAUAAUUCAUUAGAACCUCCUGAUGUGGUUUCUGAUAAAGCAUCUCAAUAAAAAUUUUGUAAUUUUCCUAAAGCUAAGUAUUACUUAUUAUUUUGUCACAGACGUGUAUUUUUACUGUCAUAUUUUUUGGUCUGUUUCCAAAAUUGUAGCUUAUUGUU